rnacentral:tRNA from 1 species
CCCUGGAGGACUAGUGGUUAGGCCACAGGGCUCUCACUCCUGCGGCUCGGGUUCGAAUCCCGGGUAGGAG